rnacentral:lncRNA from 1 species
UCAGUUGAGUUCCCAUUAGAUCAUCCCUUCUGUCCAGUAUCUUCCUUACAACCCAAGAAGCUGCCUUAGGCAAGGGCAUUGUUUCUAUGUCCCUCUGCUUGAUGUAGUAGCUGUGCACCCAUCUAAUCCACAAGAGUCCUUCUUUUUAGGCAAGUUCCAGAGGUGCUUGCUAAUUGCUGCCUUAUUCCAUACUGUCAUGUCUAUAGUAUUUAGUCCACCAGCAGAGAUAGGUCUACAAACAUUGUCCCAUGCCACUAAGGCCUUUCUGGACAGCUUUACACUCCCAGUCCAAAGAAAGGUUCUGCAUAUAGUUCCUACAUACACUGUCUCAUGCCACUAAGGCCUUUCUGCAGCUUUACACUCCCAGUCCAAAGAAAGGUUCUGCAUAUAGUUUCAAUGGCUUUCAAUACUUUCAUAGGCAGGAUGAACACUUGAGCCCAAUAGGUUUGUAUUUAAUCAGUUGACAUCUUCCAGCAAAGGAAAGCAGUUUGGCAGACCAGCAUGUUACUUUAGCUGUAAUCUUCUCAAUUAUUGGUAAGUAGUGGCCAACAGACAGUUUUUUGGAGUCAAGGGGAAUCCCCAUAUACCUGAAGGGAAAUUUGCCUUCAGUGAAUCCCAAUGCUUCCAGAAUCUGUGCCUUGGCAUCCUGAUUUACUCCAGCUAUAUACAAUGCACUUUUUGACAG